UUUGGUUUAAGCUUUUUUCCUGGUCAAACGGCUUUGGAGCUCAUUUUCCGGAGUGACGUCUCGCAGAAUCCCUCCCAGGAGGUAAGAGCUCACGCAGGUAUCGUUCUUCGAUCAUUUCUCUACGUUUGCAAACGGGAAUGGCAACUUCUUCUUUCACGAUUCGGUCAUAAUCUCUUUUUUUCAUAUGAGUAACCAGGAUUUUACAUGGGCGAUCUUUUGAAGGAGGAUUAAAAUAAGGCGCGAUUGUCCAGGUUUGACCGCUUGCUGUGACAACUACGGGCAUCGGCAGACUUAUUUGCGCGAGAUCAGCUGCACCUGGACCUCCAGAUUUCUCACGCAGAUUGACCCCUUCACUCAUCAGCCCGUGUCUCUCAACUGCCCUGAAGAGAAUGAUGAGACCAUGAGCAACGACUUCCUGCCCAGAGUCCUCGUGGAACCAGAUAGCAUGCUCAAGUCCAAAGCCGACCCCAACAAGAUGGACGACGAUCAGACGCCCCGCAGCCACGCACACCCUGCGGUCUACAAACACCCACCACAGCUACCCAGGGGCGUGCCGGGCAGAUUCCCACAGACACCCUUCCCCAGCCAGGCUGCGGCCGACACGAGUGCCCUAGACCAGUACCAGUGGGCAUGGGCGUACCCCAGCUAUGGCAGUGAUCGGGAGGAGAGGUACCCCCACAGCAUGCCCCCCUCUCUUCCCUCAGAUGAGUACAGCAGUUACCCCAGCGAGGCGAGCUACCUCCAGGGCGGGUGCCACUCCCUCCCAGGCAGACACAGCCCCAGCCUGGCCAGCCUGGAACUGCCCAGCUCCCUGCGCUCUAUCCCCCCCUGUGGCCACUCCACACACCCACCCACUGCACCCCUACGCCUGCCUGCCCCAGGCCCCCAUCUGCUGCACGCAGUGCCCCCCCCCAGGCCACCUCCGCAUGGGACCCCUCCACCAGCUCAGCCCCCAUCCUGCCUACCACAUGCCCUUUCAACCCUCAGGUCCUGAUCACUGCGGACAUGUCCCAACCAGAUCCACGCAAAGUGAAUAUGCAGUCCCUCAGCCCAGGUACACCAGUCCCAGAGGAACCCAGCUAUCCAUGGAGCAGAGGAAGGUGUUUGUCACAUAUGAGUCAGACAGCGAAGAUCAUGUCAAAGAGAUCAUCAAGUUCGUUGCGUUGCUGAGACACAACGGCUUUGACACACAUAUUGAUGUCUUUGAGCAGCAGCUGAACAGCAUCAGUAAGAUCGACUGCACGGAGCGGUACAUCCAGGAGAAAGAUUACCUGAUCAUCAUCGCCAUAAGCCCAAAGUACCACGAGGUUGUGGCCGGAGACAGGAUGUUUGUGGAGAGAGACGAGCGGACUUUAAACACGGUUUACAUCCACAAACAGCUGCAGAAUGAGUUCAUACAAAAUGGCUGCAAGAACUUCAGGUUCAUCCCCAUUCUCUUCCCUGGGGCCAAAAAGAGCCACGUUCCCACGUGGCUCCAGAACACACAUGUGUACAGCUGGCCCAAAGACCGGGACGACAUCCUGAGGCGUCUGAUGCGCGUGGAGAAGUAUAACCCUCCACCAAUCGGAGAGCUGCCCACCAUAGUCUCCAUCCCCAUUUAG
rnacentral:lncRNA from 1 species